rnacentral:rRNA from 1 species
UACGUAGGGGGCAAGCGUUGUCCGGAUUUAUUGGGCGUAAAGAGCGUGUAGGCGCCAGACAGGUCCGUUGUGAAAACUCGAGCUCAACCUCGAGACGCCGAUGGAAACCGUCUGGCUAGAGUCCGGAAGAGGAGAGUGGAAUUCCUGGUGUAGCGGUGAAAUGCGCAGAUAUCAGGAAGAACACCCGUGGCUAAGGCGGCUCUCUAGUACGGUACUGACGCUGAGACGCGAAAGCGUGGGGAGCGAACAGG